rnacentral:rRNA from 1 species
CCAAGGAGUCUAGCGUGUGCGCGAGUCAUUGGGAUAACACUAAACCUAAAGGCGCAAUGAAAGUAAAAGUUCGUCUAGCGCGAACCGAGGGAAGACGGUCGGCUAAAUUACAGUCGGCCCGCAUUCCCGGGGCGUCUCGUUCUCAUUGCGAGAAGAGGCGCACCAAGAGCGUACACGCUGGGACCCGAAAGAUGGUGAACUAUGCCUGGUCAGGACGAAGUCAGGGGAAACCCUGAUGGAGGUCCGUAGCGAUUCUGACGUGCAAAUCGAUCGUCGGAACUGGGUAUAGGGGCGAAAGACUAAUCGAACCAUC